UGGGGAAUAUUGGACAAUGGGCGAAAGCCUGAUCCAGCCAUGCCGCGUGUGUGAAGAAGGUCUUCGGAUUGUAAAGCACGUUAAGUUGGGAGGAAGGGCAUUAACCUAAUACGUUAGUGUUUUGACGUUACCGACAGAAUAAGCACCGGCUAACUCUGUGCCAGCAGCCGCGGUAAUACAGAGGGUGCAAGCGUUAAUCGGAAUUACUGGGCGUAAAGCGGGCGUAGGUGGUUUGUUAAGUUGGAUGUGAAAGCCCCGGGCUCAACCUGGGAACUGCAUUCAAAACUGACUGACUAGAGUAUGGUAGAGGGUGGUGGAAUUUCCUGUGUAGCGGUGAAAUGCGUAGAUAUAGGAAGGAACACCAGUGGCGAAGGCGACCACCUGGACUAAUACUGACACUGAGGUGCGAAAGCGUGGGGAGCAAACA
rnacentral:rRNA from 1 species